rnacentral:lncRNA from 1 species
UGAUUUUUAUAGCCUAAGAAAUGCCAUCACUCCUGCCUUCCUUAUUUGGAGAAAGAAGACCCUCUAACCCUUUUUAUUUUAAUUUACGGAACAGGAAGCCCGGUAGAUGGAAACUGAAAGUCUGAGGAAUGAAACUCUUUAGAGUCCUAAAGCCAGGAGGGACUUGAGCUGUCAUCUGGGCCCUGUGGUGUCUGCCUCCAAGUCUCUGUUGGGUCUCCAUGGAAUGCUCCCAAGGGCAGGGCACUCACACAGCACCUAAUUCAUUUUUGAGAGCUCCGAUUAUUACACUGGACUCAGAUUGGACUUCUUUAUUCGGAAACUGAGGCCCAAGUGCAGGAUGGAUCUGGGCUAGGAAUGCAGGACUCUAGACUGUAUGUUGCUACCUGUUUCUGGGGUUGGGUUGCCUGGAUGCAUGCUAGCUUGGCCUAACCAUCCCCAGUUCCCUUACACUGUAGACCCCUGGAAGAAAAGAGGAGGUGGGAUUCCUUUCAGGGAAGUGUGCAGAAGGGUCGUCCCAACCCCAGCAACCCCAGAGUCCCUUGCCGUUGAUCGGUCCUAGCUGGGGAAGGGUGAGUGUGUUUCCUCCUCCCUGCCCUGGCUCCUCACUGUCAUCCUCACCCGCCUGUGAAGGGUACAGGGGCUGGUGCCCAGAGUGUCCUCACAGGCCGGCUCAGGCCAGCAUCCCCUUCCCUUCCGGAGGAGACAGAUCCUCAGGGUCACGCUGAGGGGGGCUGGGCCUUUCUUGUACCAAGUCCUCCCAGCAUAAAGAAUUCAGCAGGCUUCCUCGGAGGGCAUAAAUAUUUAAUGGCGUUGUAGUUAUAUAUAAUUUGAUCAAUAUGUCAGUGCUAAAAGGGCCUUUAAGAAGGCUCACCUGUCAUUGAGUGAUCUGUGAUGUGAACCUUCACCAGCCCCUCCAGUAGCGGGAGGGGCUACAUUUCCCAAGGCUGCUGCAUAGAUCAUUUGUUGACCCUCCUCCCCUUCUUACAUUGUAGCACUGCUUCCCCUCAGAGCCCAUGGCGUGGAUGGAGCAGGGCCUGAGAACCCCACCCCAGCUUUUGUUGGCUGUCCCCCGGCCCCCCCAUGGAUUUCUUCCUCUGUUGAUAAAACACCCACUUGUUUUAUUUCAGUGUUCUCUGAGCUCGGCCUAAGGAGAAACUACCUGGCAAGGACUAUCCUCUUUUAGUCACAUCAUUGAGAGGCUAUCCAUUUAGUAUUGCCUAGGAAAUGCAAUGGGAUAUUUUAAGUUAAAAUUGCCCAGACGUGGUAUUCUGAAUCUGGGUGAUUGGCGCCUGGCUGCUGGGAGGCUGCUGGGAAGGUUGGGGCCAGGGCCACCUCUUUCUGCACAGCCUCCCACCCCAGCCUUUCCCUGCAGCUCUGGGAUUUAAAUCAAGAUGAAGCAGACUCUCUUCAAACUCCAAGGACUCAGUCAGAGAAGUAGGUAAAACCUGAUUAAAAUUUAAGAACCUCAGAGCUGACUGAGAUGACACCCCCAAACACACACAUUUUCUAGAGGAGUAACCUGAGACCCAGAGGCCUGCUGGGAUGAAAAUCGUCACUUCCCCAUGGCUUUGCAAUGUAAUUCACCUUUCAAAUGGGCAGGUCCCUUCCUCAUCUCAUCUUUCACACACAUCCGCAAACUGGUCUCAGACUCACAGUACCAUGCUCUUUGCAUGACACUGCCCUGAUUUUCCGAAGAAGAAAUCCUCAUUUCACAAAUGUAACUAGAAGCCUAGUAGCAUGGGAUGGCCGCUUGCCUGUCUCACAGACGUGGAAUUACUUCCCGCUGAAUGCAACAACUUGGAGAACCCUGGCCUGGUUGUCUUAGCCUCACCAACCAGUCUUCCCUUUUGAAUCACAGAAACUGCACAGUAGGGGCUUGACACUUAGAAGUAUGAUAUCAUUGUUCUUGCCUAGAGGCUCUUCCACAGUGAAGCGCAGUUUUGCUGAUGGACAGAUUUGAAUGGCUCGUGCUCUGAAGACUGGUCCUUGGGACCCAGCCCAGGUCAGCCAGCUGCCCAGCAACCAGCCAGCAUCCAUCCACAUCUCAAGGUGGCUUGGCUCUUCUCUGCUGGUCUUUUGUAAAUUCAUGUGAUGCUCUGUUUUAUGGAGGAAAUGAUAAGCUGCACGCCAAUUCGGGAAUAUUUAGGGUUCUAAAACUCUAAAUUAGGGCUCCUGGAUCUUAUACGUUAUCUAGUUAAUCCCUUCAUUUUGCAGACAACGAAAUUAAUGCCUAGAGAAGGGAAGUGAUUUGCCCAAAGCCACACAACUAAAUGGAGGCAGAAUUGGAGGUAGAAGCCAGCUCAUCUCUGCGUGGCGUUGGAGCAUAACACACUCUUUGAAGGGGCAGUUUUCUCUUCUCCUUGCCUUUAUUUGGCUGAGGUUAAAAGGAAUUGUGCAUUCAGAGUCCACAGGUACACACGACAGGGCAGUUUAAAACUAACUAGCAGACAGACUCUCUGGUGGAAGUAGCUCUCGACGGUGUGUUGGACACAGUCACCUAAAUUAAAAAUAAGGGCAAGGACUGGCUGGGUGCUGCAAGCCCAGGAGCAGGAGGUUGCUGGGGGGUACAGAUCAAGAGCAGGCUCCGUUUCCCUUAAUUUAGUGUCUUGGGUCAAGGGCCAAGGAUAGUCUGAAGUAGCAGCAAACGUGAAUACUAGACUGUGGUUAGAGAAAUAGACUUUUAGAAUGCUCAAGUACCCUCGGUUUACAGCAAGAUGUUCAGAGGUCCUGCUUUAAUGAGGAGAUGAUCAUGCAAAUGGGAGCUACUAAGGCGCAUGGAACAGAUUGCUGUUUGGGAAAUUACACUUGCCCCCCACUAUCUUGUUUUCUGUCAUUUAUUUGCCUAACAAUCUUGACAGAGAUGCAGGGCAGAUGUUACUCCCAGCGCCCAGUUGGUAGUGCAGAUUCCGGAUGUAGCAGGACCUCUGUCCCCAUUUCUCUGAACUGCUUCUCUGUCUGUAUCUAGUAGAUUAGUUCCUUCUGAGGAACAAUGUUUUUCCACCAACAAAGCGCCUGCUUUGAACCAUACUUGAAAAGAAACUUUCAAAGGCGGCACCAGCCUCCCUGAACACCUUUUCCAAAGUGCUUUCCAAAGGGAGCCAUCUUCCCACCUCCCACCACCUCUCAGAUUCGCUUCUGAAGACCUGGCUCAAAAGCAGUGGCUUUGUGGGACCGAGAUGGAGGGAAGGAUGGAGGUCGGCCUCUGGAAACUACAGCCGCCUUAUCGAUAACGGAUUGCGCCAAGUUGCCAAAAGGAGUUUUCCAACAUACGAUCGAGUUCCAGUUUGUGAUUUGUGACCUGUCCCAAUUGUUGAAGUCACACUUGAUUUUUUUUUUUUUUUUUCCUUUUUUGGAACUGAUGUUUAGAGCUUGUUUGAGUUGGAUCCAAUGCUGUUUUAACAGCUGUUCUAAUCAGAAGUGCUGUCAAUUAUUAACCUUAAUGGUGGUUUUUCUUUCAAAAAUAUUUCUCUAAGCUCUCUUGAAAUGUCAAAAUUUGGCUUCUUGGUAGGAAGUCAUUUAGUGAAAUCACUUAAUGGCUGGGCAUCAGUUUCCCCAUCUGAAAAGUGGAGAUGUUGACAAGCGCCUUCUCCGCGGGGUUAUUGUGGAUGCACACAUGGCGAGUUGGGUGGGUGAUAUCAGCGGUCAUUACUGUUGUUAGGAGGGCUUCUGUUAAGCCAGCUUUCCAUUUCCAGGAACUUCCCCUCCCCCAAGCGCCACCCUCCAAAAAAUAAACAUUUCUUUAAAAUGUUGA